GGAAUAUAAGAACCCGUCUCUUAAUUUUUAACUAAAAAAGUUAAGAACCGGUUCUUAAAACUCUUAUUUAAGAACCGGUUCUUAACUUUUUUAAUUAAAAAUUAAGAAACGGGUUUUUAUAUUUC
rnacentral:pre_miRNA from 1 species